rnacentral:rRNA from 1 species
CGAACGAAGAUCGUUAUAAAAAGGAUUGAAGAUUUAUCGGAUUGAGAUUUUAUAACAAUGGUCUUAGUGGCGGACUGGUGAGUAACGCGUAAGGAACCUGCCUUUUAGAGGGGAAUAACAAUGAGAAAUCAUUGCUAAUACCGCAUAUGCCAUAGUUAUCACAUGAUAAUAGUGGGAAAGGAGCAAUUCGCUAAAAGAUGGCCUUGCGUCUGAUUAGAUAGUUGGUAAGGUAACGGCUUACCAAGUCGACGAUCAGUAGCCGGACUGAGAGGUUGAACGGCCACAUUGGGACUGAGAUACGGCCCAGACUCCUACGGGAGGCAGCAGUCGGGAAUAUUGCGCAAUGGAGGAAACUCUGACGCAGUGACGCCGCGUAUAGGAAGAAGGUUUUCGGAUUGUAAACUAUUGUCGUUAGGGAAGAGAAAGGACAGUACCUAAGGAGGAAGCUCCGGCUAACUACGUGCCAGCAGCCGCGGUAAUACGUAGGGAGCGAGCGUUAUCCGGAAUUAUUGGGUGUAAAGGGUGCGUAGACGGGAAAACAAGUUAGUUGUGAAAUCCCUCGGCUUAACUGAGGAACUGCAACUAAAACUAUUUUUCUUGAGUGCAGGAGAGGUAAGUGGAAUUCCUAGUGUAGCGGUGAAAUGCGUAGAUAUCACACAGAACACCGAUUGCGAAGGCAUCUCACGAAUCCGCUAUUGACGCUGAUGCACGAAAGCGUGGGUAUCAAAC